GAUUCUUAGGGUUGAUACGCUGCUGUUGUACAAGAUCGAUGGUGGAAGUAAAAAUGCGGAUUUGAGAUAGCUGUUGGACUGAACCAUAUAGUUUCGCAUAUUGGUCAACUCUCCAGUGGCAAGUAAUGUUAUGGUUGCAAAAUCUCAAGGGGUAACAGGUCACACUUUUGUUCAAACUUUAGGGUGAGAACUAUGCUCAUGGUGCAUGUUCUCUUCUUAGAAUGGGGAAUGGCAGUCUGCAUUGAUAGUAAGUAAUGGAACUAUUGCAAGGCCUAUGAGAACAAUAUAAUUAAAUCUACGAUGACAUCAGAAACCAAGGAGAAGGGGAAGUCAGAACAUAUAAAAAACAUAAGAAAGAGGAGGCAAAUAUACUCUUUAUGAAAAUGAUCUUGUGUGGAUUAUGUUUAUCUACAUCUCUUGCGUUGUGUCAUGCCUAACUGACAAAUAGUUCAAGAUAAUAUCGUAAAGGUGUAUAACUGAAUUAUCUAUAUUAGUUCGUGUUCCAAAUUUGCAACUUGAAGGCCUCUGAAACAAAACAAAAAAAACAUGCAAAUAUUAAUUUGAAUCAGUUUGUAGGUGGUCUAGCUUUCUCUAGAAACUCAUGGAUUGAUUACGUUAAGGCAGAACCUUGGUUUGACUUGGCACUUGAAGAGCAUUCAUGUAUAAUGUACCUUCGAUGUCACGAGUAUAAUAAUAUUUAUUUGUGAUUCCUCUUCAAUGUGUAAAUUAGUAUGAGUAUCAUUGAUCAGAGAUGAAUACAUACACAUUUCUUUUUAUAAAGCAGUACUUGUUUGGAACCAAGAUUCGCCAGUUCUGUGUACUACACAACUCGCAGGAAAGUAUAGCUUUUGAUCCAUGUACUGAUGUAUUCUUGUUUCAGGUGAUUGUCAGUUUUCCAUUGAGUGAAGGCUAUUUGCUGCUCCUUGAUCAAGGCUAUACACUUUUCAGAUUUGUUUGGAAGGAUAAACCAUGUCCAGCUACAAAUGGGCAUGUGCAAUUAUAUUGACGAAACUAAAAUGGGAAUAAGAUGCGCCAGCUUAUUGUUUUCCUGUUUGUGCUUAUUAUUUACAACUCACUGCAAUACCUCACAUUUCUAAAGAAAAUAUCUUGAGAUAACUUG